UUACUUCUUUUCCACUGAUCUCUCCCUCUUCUCUCGCAUGAGAAUUCUCUUCAAAAUUAAACUUUCAUGUCUCUUUCUUAUGAAAAAGUCCGCUCGUUCCCCUUUAAACUCGAUAAAGCUGCUUCGCUCCUCCAAGAGACGGCUUUUUGGCGUACCACCAAAACCCCAUUUCUCAAAUACCCUAUUCUUCCCCUCUUGAUCCCUCUCAUCUCUGAUCUCCAAAGCUUUUGGAAUGGAAUGGGAGCGUUUGGUAAUUUCACUAAUCAACCCUCCAUAGCUGCUGAAGCUUUCCCAAAUCCAGAGGCUAUUUUUUUAUCGGGAGAUAACUCCAAUCAUUUCAUUAAAGAGGUAUAUGAGAAGCAUACAAAAGAAAGAGGUUAUAGAAAGGCACUCCGCCUUCAGUCGUCGGAGUCCUAUUUUUGAUCUUUUGGAGAUGAUUCUAUCGUAUGAAAUUAGUUCUCCGACUUCAGAACACAGGGGCAAUGGGAGAAAUUACUUUUAACCUCCCAAAGAAGAAGCAUUGAAGCUGCCAAGAAGAUGUAGACAACAAGGUGUGAGUGGACCAUUAAGUUCAAAAUUCAUAGAACAUUAAGAGAAAAUUGCAGCCUGAAAUGAUUAUCCUAUCAUUUCCUUCCUGAAAUAAGAAUAAAAGGGCUCACUAAAGCCUAAUUAAACCCAUCACAUAUUUGGUCGCUAUAUA